UCUUUUACUGAAGAAUGCAUGUUCCGAGAAAGCAGAAGCACGUCAAUAUCAAAUAAGAGCAACGAAAUGCCAUCCGAGAAUGAACCAAAAGCCUCCCAUAUUAUUAAUGGCAAUCCGGAUGAUUUGGUGAGUGAGUUGACUCUGUUGAAGGAGAAAAACAGAGAUAUGGAGAGUGAAUUGAAGGAGAUGCAAGAGAGAUAUUCAGAAAUAAGCCUCAAGUUUGCAGAAGUGGAAGGUGAGAGACAAAAGCUUGUAAUGACGGUACGUAACCUCAAGAAUUCAAGGAAGAGCUAGCAAGGAGACAGAUGAGUUGUAUAGUUGGAAGUAGAAGGGAAUGCUGAGACUGAAAAAGGAAUAAAGGCAGCACUUCCUUCCGGGUAAGUAAAUUAAUUUGUACAGAAUUUAUACAAAUGUAAUUUAGUUUGUAAUUUCUCUUGAUUGACGUAGGCAAAUAUCUUCAUUACAUUUUUUUAUUUCCCUCUCUUUUUAAAAGGUUUGUCACGAGAUGUAUGUCGCUUUUUUUUUCCUGGAUAAAAUGAUGAAAACGGAGCUCGUUGCUAGUGUUUGUUUCUUUUAUGUCACUACUUGAUCUUCACA